ACGACCUCAUCGCACGACAAGUCGUUGAUCUCAUUUCUGCUCUCUGCGCUUCGGCUGAUGCUUCGCUCUGAGCUGACUUCGUCGCUAGGGUUUCCGAUCGCCUCUCAUCCGAUCCGUUGGCCUUGAAUCGCCGUCAGAUUAUAUGGUUUUAUAAGGUGUGGAGAAGUCUUAAUGUUGGUGCUUCUUAUAAAUUACUGCUCAUUAAGAAGCAAUUGGCGCCAGAAAUUAACAUCUCAAAGUCUCUCAUCGUUUUGAAGUUAUCAUCAAUGACAACAUUUCUCUCCAUCUCUUCGAGGGCAAGCCGAGCAGCUUCUCUAUCUCGUUGCCGUUGCUCCUUGAUGUACUCAUUGGCUUUCAUCAUCUCGGCAGCCCUAAACAUCUUGAUCUCAUCUUCGGUGAUUUCAAGACCAUUAGAGCCACUGUAAAGAACCUCUUGUCUGGCUUUGAAGAUGGUACCUGCAAACCGUGCCUUCAGCAUUGCAACCCGAGCAGCCCUUCGUGGCGACAGAUUAAUCUCAUCGGAUGGUGUGGUUGCGUUUGAAAGAACGGAAUCGGAAUCGGAAUCGUAAGCGGAGGAACGUGGACGUUUGAAAGAACGGGCGGAAUUGGGUUUUGCACAGACCUUGUGGUUGCGAUUGUUCAAAGAAUUCAGAUUAAGCUUCAACUCUUCAAGCCUCAUUGUCACCAAACCAAUUAAAUCAACACUGAAACUACAAACGAAGAAAGAAAAAUUGAACAAGUAAGUUGCGCGGUUUUCAGUUUCUGCCAAGUGGGUUUUGGCCAAGAGCGAAGCGUGUGAUUGAUUAUCAGAAUGGGAAUGUGAGUGAGUGAGAGAGAAAGAAAGAGAGAGAGAUUAGGGUUAUUUGAAUUUGGGGAUUUAGGGUUUACAACCAACGGCUAUAUUUCUUCUCAAUUCAUUAUCUUCUUCACUUCUCUCGCGAA